rnacentral:lncRNA from 10 species
CAAAGUUCUCCAGAAGGCCAUGUAUGCUCUGAAUCAGUGUCCAAUAUAUGAUACUGUUCCUCCCAUAGCCAGGAUUCAUGGGUCCAGGGAUCAAGAGGUGGAAGUGGAAGUGGCACCACUCAUCAUCAACCUUAGUUAUCCACUAGCAAAAUUUUUGCUUUCUGUUCUCACGAUAUUACGUUCUGCUUGCCUAGAGGUCUUAGUUCCAGAGGGAACUGCUGCCACCAGGAGAUAAAACAACAAUUCCAUUAAACUGGAAGUUAAGAUUGCCAACCAGACACUGUGCUCCUCCUACCUUUAAGUCAACAGGUUAAGAAGGCAGUUACAGUUCUGGCUGCAGUGAUGGACCCAGACUAUCAAGAGAAAAUCAGUCUACUACUCCACUACUAAGCACUGUUCCUUCCUGCCACCUUGUGAAGAAGGUGCCUUGCUUCCUCUUCACCUUCCGCCAUGAUUGUAAAUUUCCUG